GACAGAGGAGGCUAGCGUUGUUCGGAAUCACUGGGCUUAAAGCGCGUGUAGGCGGCGGAGCAAGUGUCGUGUGAAAUCCCUCGGCUCAACCGGGGAACUGCACGGCAAACUACUUCGCUUGAGGACGGUAGAGGUGCCUGGAACUCUCGGUGGAGCGGUGAAAUGCGUUGAUAUCGAGAGGAACGCCAGAAGCGAAAGCGAGGCACUGGGCCGUCUCUGACGCUGAGACGCGAAAGCGUGGGGAGCAAAC
rnacentral:rRNA from 1 species